rnacentral:lncRNA from 1 species
AGGUCUUGCGUGAGAGGGAAGACACGAGAAUAACGGAGUUUUGUCAGGUCCACAGGAUGACGUCAGCGCACGUUCGGAGAUAUUGCCACGUGAGCUACGGCGUUUUCAGUGAGGGUAAAUGGCUAAUGUCCUAUAGCUCUAACGUAGGGGAUUAGCAUAAUGAGGUGGCGAAGGAAGAAAGAGCCAACAGGUGAGAGACAAGUUGCAGAGGAAUCGGAUUCCCUUGGGAAAGGACGGGGUUGGGGAGGCUUGGGAGCAGGGAGUAGAUAAACGCGACGGAGGGUGGGCCUGGGCUUAGGUCUGAACCAGAACAGGGUAAAGGCGAAACCGCUCAACUGAACCAAACAAAAAGUAUAUGGUGUUAAUGGAGUGCCAUGUCCUUUGCUCAGAGCUUACUUCACAGUUCACACUGCUCCACUUUUUUCUCCACCAAUUUAUUUUUCUGUUUCUUCGGUCUCAAGAAUUUCCAACAUCUGAAUGUUAUUUCCCUUGAAAAGUGAGUCACAAGAGUCACAACUUACAACUCCCAAGUCCUAAG